rnacentral:rRNA from 1 species
CCUACGGGAGGCAGCAGUGGGGAAUAUUGGGCAAUGGGCGCAAGCCUGACCCAGCAACGCCGCGUGAAGGAAGAAGGCUUUCGGGUGGUAAACUUCUUUUAAGAGGGAAGAGCAGAAGACGGUAGCUCUUGAAUAAGCCACGGCUAACUACGUGCCAGCAGCCGCGGUAAUACGUAGGUGGCAAGCGUUGUCCGGAUUUACUGGGUGUAAAGGGCGUGUAGCCGGGCUGACAGGUCAGAUGUGAAAUCCCGUGGCUCAACCACGGAACUGCAUUUGAAACUGUCGGUCUUGAGUAUCGGAGCGGCAGGCGGAAUUCCUGGUGUAGCGGUGAAAUGCGUAGAUAUCUGAAGGAACAUCGGUGGCGAAGGCGACUAACUGGCACAUGACUGACGCUGAGGAGCGAAAGCGUGGGUAGCAAACAGGAUUAGAUACCCGGGUAGUC